GCCAAUGUGGCGUAGUGGUUUGAAUGUUGGACUAUGACUCUAGAGAUCAGGGUUCAAAUCCCGGUUUAGCCA